GAUGAACGCUGGCGGCGUGCUUAACACAUGCAAGUUGAACGAAGUGGCGGAUGGGCGAGUAACACGUGAGGAACCUGCCUUUCACAGGGGAAUAACACUGGGAAACCAGUGCUACUACCGCAUAGUGAAAGAUGGCCUCGCGCCUGAUUAGCUAGUAGGUGAGGUAACGGCUCACCUAGGUGAUGAUCAGUAGCCGGACUGAAGGUUGAUCGGCCGCAUUGGGACUGAGACACGGCCCAGACUCCUACGGGAGGCAGCAGUGGGGAAUAUUGGGCAAUGGCGCAAGCCUGAUGCAGCCAUGCCGCGUGUAUGAAGAAGGCCCUAGGGUUGUAAAGUACUUCAGUCGGGACGCGGUACCUGUAGAAUAAGCCACGGCUAACUACGUGCCAGCAGCCGCGGUAAUUC
rnacentral:rRNA from 1 species